rnacentral:rRNA from 1 species
CGCAAUGGGGGCAACCCUGAUGGAGCAACGCCGCGUGCAGGAUGAAGGCCCUCGGGUCGUAAACUGCUUUUUUCUGUGAUGAUUAUGACAGUAGCAGACGAAUAAGGAUCGGCUAACUCCGUGCCAGCAGCCGCGGUCAUACGGAGGAUCCAAGCGUUAUCCGGAAUUACUGGGCGUAAAGAGUUGCGUAGGUGGUUUAUUAAGCAAGGCAUGAAAUCGUGUGGCUCAACCAUGCGGCUAUGCUUUGAACUGAUAGACUAGAGGAUGAGAGAGGUUAUUGGAAUUCCCAGUGUAGGAGUGAAAUCCGUAGAUAUUGGGAGGAACACCGAUGGCGUAGGCAGAUAACUGGCUCAUUCCUGACUUCUAAGGCACGAAAGCGU